GUUGUGUUUCAUGAAAAUCUGAGCCAUAUUAAAAAAAACAGUAUAGAGGUAAACAGAUACCAGUAUUUGUGUUAAAAUCCUAUUAAGGACUGCAGUGUCUUGCUUCUAGAAUUCUGUGUAUCCUGCUUCUAGAAUUCUGUGUAAUUUGGUUCAUUGCUUAAAAAUAAUUGGGUAUUUCAGAUUAGAAUCAGGGAUUCUCAGUACCCACCAGUCCUGAAUUUAAGGUCACUGUGACAGUAACAUGACACUAUAUAAGAAACCAGCUGAAGGCUUUAUAUUUAUCAUACUUGAGCUUAUAACUGAUCAGGUGAUCUGGCUCUAAGAUAACUAGCUGUCUUUAACUGAAUUUCACAUGAUCAGUUUUGCUUGGUUUAGACUAUUCCCCAGAAGAUUAUUAAUGAUUUGAAAUAUUACCUAAUAUUUGUAUAUCAGUUUUUGUGUUGCUUUACAUUUAAGUCUGCAAAGCAGGUCAAAGUAGUGAUCAGGCUUCUUAAAAUUUACCCAGAGAUUCUGUCUAGGGCAGCGUAUUUCAGUCUAUAAAUGUACAGUGUAGUAGCCUUGAAGAAAGAAGUUUGAGUAACUAUUCCAGGAGCUGAAUGCUUGUAUCAGUUCUCAGUAUGUAAUUUAUGUGAUCUCGUUUACCAAUAGGUAUUUGGGGGAAAUGUUUAAUAAAUAGCAAACCCAAAUUGAAACUUCAUCAUGACAUGUGGUAUUGAAAAUUAACUUUAGUCUUAUUUUUAUUAAAGUUAUAUGAUGUUUUUUUGCCUUAAAAAAACUGCAAAAUAUACAACUGCUUUCUCCGUAGUAUGGGCUUUCAGUAUUAAAGUAGGAAUGACCAAAAAUUCCCCAUACUGGAAUUUGUCUUUGGGAAAUAUUAUAAAAGUAAUUAACUUUUCUUUUUCUUUUCAGAAAGUACAGUAACAUCUUGAUCAACCUGUUAAUAAGGAAGGGAUAUAAUUAAGUAGAUUCAUCUCAUACAUUAUCAACCAAAUCUAGGUAAUUAGCUAGAAGUCAACUGUUUGUUGAAAAGAUUGAGUCUAGUCUGUCCCUUACGUUGAUAAUUGAUGUGUUUUCCAUUCAUUUUACAACCACUGAAUGUUUUAUGUUUCAGAAGUUAGAAAUACAAUAUAGUAAGUCAUCAUUAUCCUCAGAGAAUUUAGAGAGGAUUCCAAGAGGCAGUAAUAAAUUUAUAAAUGGUGAUGGUGGUGUUCAGUCGCCAAGUCAUGUCCGACUCUUUGCAACCCCAUGGACUGCAGCACACCAGGCUCUUCUGUCCUCUACUAUCUCCCGGAGUUUGCUCAGAUUCAUGUCUGUUGAGUCGGUGAUGCUGUCCAACCGCCUCAUCCUCUGUCACCUCCUUCUCCUGUUGCCUUCAGUCUUUCCCACCAUCAGGGUCUUUUCCAGUGAGUUGGCUGUUUGCCUCAAGUCGCCAAAGUAUUUGGAACUUCAGCAUCAGACCCUCCAGUGAAUACUCAGGGUUGAUUUUACUAUUUACAAAUAGUAAUAAUCAAACCAAAUCUUCCAGAAAAAACCCCUUUGAAAGUUUGAAAGGUAUUCUUUCCUGGUAACACAAUACUCAGCUUAUAAUUGGAAUACAUGAACAAUGUGUAUAAUUUAGAUUUCUCCUAGAGAGAAAAGCUUGUAAAAUGUAUAUAUCAUGAAUUUUUUAAACUAAAAUUAAGUUUAGUAUCCACUGGGUAUGGUCAGAGUAACUGGAUUUUAAGAAUUUUCAUCAUACAGUUCAAACUUUAAAACAUAAAGAUGGAGUGACCGUAUGAAUCUGACAGAACAAAUGUGAAGGUAGGUCUCCUUAUAUUUUUAUUUCUUUUUCCCCUUACUGACAACUAAGCCUUUAGGUGAGAAAUUCCUGGUCAAGGUUGAAAUAAUGAGCAGUUCUUUGAAAUAUUUCUUACUCCCUGAAGAUAGACAUACACAUGUUGCUUUGUUCAAAUGGGAUGGAUUUAUUGAAAAUAACUUUUCUCCGUUGCCUGUAACUCAUAAGACCCUUCAUGAGGUUCAGCUGUUUCAAACUCCGUUAUAUCUUAACAAAACUGCUUAAUUUAGUGUCUGAUAAUACACUCUUACUAUCUCUCUUUUUCCCCUAUAAACAUUUUCUUUUUUUAAGUUCCAAGACCUAUAAUUGCUAGCCAGAACUUUUUAGUAAGAGAGAACUGAGGUUAACACAUAGAACUGGUUGUAAUUUUGGUCAGAGGCAAACCUGACAGAAAAGCUAACAUUGACUAUUUCCAACUGGCUGUCACUGUCUUAAAUUUAAACUUAUUAACCCUGUAAGGGGCUUCCCUGAUGGCUCUAUGGUAAAGAAUCCACUUGACAAUGCAGGAGAGGUGGAUUCGAUUCCUGGAUUGGAAAGAUCUCCUGGAGAAGGAAAUGACAACCCACUCCAGUAUCUUUGCCUGGUGGGCUACAAUCCAUGGGGUCACAGAAGAGUUGGACAUAACUUAGCGACUAAACAAAAUCAAAUUAACCCUGUAAAGUAAGUAUAAAUGUGAAUUUUGGUCCAAGGCUACCUCCUGACAAGAAGUGACCAGUCUCAAGUUGAACCCAGGUCGGUCUGGUACCAGAGCUCACAUUUUAACCACCUCUGUGUGUGUAUUGCUUCCUGGCUUUUACUCACUAUAUGCAAUCUUUAUACAAUUAUGUACCCAUUAAUUGUAAUUGGGCUUCUUUGAAAUGUUGAAUAAUAGGGAGUGUUAGUUUUCCCAGCUCAGAACUAUGGGUGGGGUGGAAGACUAUUUUCAUAGAAAUAGCAGUGUAAGAAUUACUUUGGGUUGUGAUAGUAAGAUUAAUGAUAGCCUUGGAAUAACUGAGAAGCUUCUCUUUUGUAAAUAUUGCUGUUAGUGUAGCCUUCAUCAAUUGAACCUUCUUAAACCUAUUUACAAUUAACUUUUUUUUUUUUUUGUACUUGUGGUUUUGUCACAAGUUUACUAAACAUUUUGUGAUAGGAGAUUUCUUUUUACCAGUUUUAAAACAUUUCCUAGUGAAUGUUUUAGGAUUUAAGUUACUUUGAAUAAAAUGGAGCCAGACUGUGGUAUUUUAUCUGUAAUCACUGUGAUUUUACAUGGAACUCAAUUUUAUCAUCUUAACUUUCUUUCCAGAUUGGAGUUCUUACUCUUUGAAGGUAAAAGCCACUUUAUUUUUGUGAACACUUCUUAACUGCCCUGUUUUGUACCUUCCCUGGCUUUCUUUUAUGUCUUUGAAGUGGCUGCUGGAAGGUCAUGAAGUAUGCUGGGUGCAUAUAUAACCAUGGCUUUGUGUACUAUUGAUUAUCCUUUUUCCCUAACAUCAUUCUGAUUACCUGCAGUUGUUAUUUUUCUGUUUGUGUGUGUGUGUUUUAGACAAACAUUGUUUCCCUUUUACUUUGUAACUCGUGAUUUGCCUAGGCUAGGUGAUAGAUUAAAGAUAGAGGAACCAGAAUUUACUGACUUAUUGUUUCCCACAUACCUUGAUUCCUGGAGAAAGAAGCCUGUGUGUAGCAUGCAUAAGCAAAGCUGAAUGGCAUUCUGAUUGCCUGUUAACUUUGGAGAAAUAGGUUCACUGAUAGUAACAGCCCAUGUAUGUAUAUAUGGCUGGUGAAUAAACAGUUCUGCAGUAUCAGAGCUGGGACUUAGGACGUGGAAGGUAUUAAUCAAAGUCACCGUGGCUCUAGUUGUUGUUAGCACCAAGACCAAGUUCAGAAUUCCAAAUAGACAUCUGACAAACCAGAGUGCCCACAGUUGCUUUGGGGUUCCAUCCAGCUGUGUUCUGCCUACAAGAUUCAUAAUUAUAGAUCAUUUUAAUUGCUGCUCAGUCAAAACCAGUGUUGCUAAUGACAGCAAUGAUCUAAAGGCCAUUUCAGUUGCCCUUUUCUCCUCAUAUCAUUAUUCUUGAUCAUCUUGUUACUUUUGACACAAUUUGAGAAACUUUCAAAACUUUUCUGUCUUUCUCUGGCUCUGAUCCACUAUGCGUGUUAUUUCCUUGUUCCUUGUAAUGCCCUCUUCCUUUGUCUUUUGUCCCUUUUUAGGGACUUUAACCACUGUUAGCGCCACUGGAUUUUAUAUCUCUAAUUCCACUCGCAGCCUCUAAUCUCAUAUGUGUCUCCAGAUCACAUGAAACUUGAUAAUGCUGAAACAGUUGUCAGUCAUUUAACAAACAUCUAGUGAGUACAUGUGUUCCUGGCACUCAGCUGGCGCUGGGGAUAACAAGAGGCAGCAUCUGGCAAAGGGAACAAAACCUUACAUAGUGAGUGAGAGUUGCUCAGUCAUGUCCAACUCUCUGCCACCCCAUGGACUAUAAAGCCUGCCAGGCUCCUCUGUCCAUGGAAUUCUCCAGGCAAGAACAAUAGGGGGGUUGCCGUUUCCUUCUUACAUAACCAUAAAAGAAUUACGUGUUUGGGGAGCACAUUUUGAUCUUCCGGGUUGCAAUCUUAAUAGUUGUUCUGUUGGAUUUUCUGUUGAUUAGGUCAUACUGAUUCUUCUAUGAGGUCUUCUACUUACUUUCUCUAUUAGCCUAGGAUUGUAGUUCUUAAUCUUGCAGGAUUAAAUGUAGAAAAAGACAUUUAUCAGACUAGCCAUGAGAACUAAUGAUUGUACUUGACUAUGUUAAUUGAUUGGAAAUUUUGUGUUAAAAGAUUGUGGGAAUUCAGCAAUACUUUUUAAGUGAAUUAUUUAAUUAAUAACAAUAGCAUUUACACUCAGAUUUAGACUAUACUUUUAUUAGAGAGCCACCUUUAUGCUAAAUAAUGUUCUAAAGAAUAAAAGUAUGCAGUGGGCACAAGGCAGUCUUCUCCCAUUAUGGAGCUAAUCUCUUAAGGGAGGAAAUUCACAUUUGGUUGGCUUGAUGCACCCCUAAAUCUAAGACUCGCAGGUUGGGAGGCAUUGCUGUGUGUCUAAGUCUGUUUCUCAUUUGUUAGAACUCUCUUCCUAAUUUUCCUACUUCAUGUCUCUCACUACUCUGUCCUAUACAUUUGCCAUAAUAAUUACCACACAGAUACCCACAUUCCCAUUACAUCAUGGUGUCAAAUCUAAAUUCUUGAAAUUCUGAGACCUUUUAUGUGCUUCCCAAGCAUCUUAAUCUUUCCUUUCAAACCUUUUAUUCCUUUCCCGUUCUGACACUGAUUGUGCUCAAGCCUUACACUGCCUUUGUCCAUCUUGCUCUAAUUCACUACUACUUAGCAAUUACUUUGGAGAUUAUUCCAUUUUCUAAAGAGACAUGGAUUGGAAUGUGAUAUAUCAUUCAUGAAAAUAACAGGGAUAUAUGGUUGAACUAUGAAGGUUGCCAUAUAUAAUGAUUUAUAGAUUUCAACCAGUGGCCCACUUCAAGGAAUACUUGGAGUCACUUAAGUGGCAAUUUGACAGCGAAGUUGUACUGAAACUUACUAUCUAGAUGCAGUGGGUAACAAUCUGUAAGUAGAAAAUGCGGAAGGCUUAGAUUUAGUCAUAUGGAUUUAGGAGUUUGCAUCAGGUUUUGAGGCUGAACCAAGUGACUCAAAGGGAAUUUAAAAUUCUCUGCUCUUGACUAUUAAAGAGCAAUCUUUUGCUUUAAAGUUUUCAGAAUUCCACUUCUUGAAAGUACACAGACAACCAGUAGAAAAACAGCCUAGUUGGCCAGUCUCAGCCUAAAAGUUGAACAGGUGGAUGCAUAGAUUUUUCACAUACUCUUGUAUUUUCUGAAAACAAAGAUACUAUUGUAUUAUUGCAGUACGUGUCCAUAUUGCAAUAGUCAUCCAUACUUGUGAGACUGUCUAAAUCUGCACUUCAAUCAUGGUGAUAGCCUCCGUUAGACCAAGUUUGUCAGACCUGCAUCCUACGUUGGAUGCUCUGUCUCUUCUGGGGAAACUAAAGUACAAAAAGACUUCUUGAUAUUUUGAAUUUUUGACCUGAUAUCCAACACCUCUCAUACUGGUCAAGCAGUAGCUCCUAUUCAUUGAGUUCCUACUGUGCACCAGUUACAUGCAGCUAGGUACUUUAUAUCAUCUUUAACAUUCACAGGAGCCUCUGUGUUAGGCACUAGUAUCCCUGUUUCCAGUGGGAGAACUCAGGCCCAGAGAGAUUGAAUGACAUAGCCAGGGUUGUACAGCUAGUUUGUAAUAAAGCAAGUAUUAGUGCUGAAAACGUAUUUUCACUUUUAUCUUUCUGUAGAAAUUUAUUUUGCUUUUUAGAGUGAGAGACGAAGCAUUUUCUUCAGGUUAGAUUUAUUGUGGGGAGUUGUGAAUUACAAGCUAAAAACAGAUGGUAUUCUACAAUGUAAGGUUUAAAUUUGUGAAAUUUUUAUUUGCUGUUGUAUGCUUCUGUUUCCCUGUCCUUAGCAUCAUUGAAUAUUUUCUACAUUUUGUGAUUGAUACAUGUUUGCUUCUUUAUAUACAAAAUCUUUAAUUUUGUAGAGGAAUGGGAUAAAAGAGAUUAAGUUGGUUUUGUACUUCCAAGUAGAGUCUGACCAUUUUGAUUAUCCCCACAGCAAACCUGAAAAGUCAGUUCACCACAUUUAACAUAUACAUAACACUGUGUGUGUAUAAAUAUAUAUCGUAUACUGCCUUCCAUCUCCUAUUAUUAAGAGUAAUAAUUGAUGCCAGGCAGGAAGAGUGCUACCUCAUAUUUGGAUCAGCUACUUCUACAUAAAGAACAUUUGAAAAAGUUUGCCUGAAGCUGUUCUGAAAGUUAAGUACCAUUAAAUACAUUGGCAAAGUCUGGCUCAAAUUCCAGCCUUUCACAGAGCGCAUCAGGGAGAUCCUUGCUUUUUGCCUUGCAAAAAUCAAAAAUAAUAGCCAUUGAGGAAGUAAAAUUUAAGUAAACAUGUACUCUGUUUAAUGCCACUGGCUGGUGUUUGUUAAGUGCUUCCCGUGUGUCAGCUGCUAUUGAAAGUGCUCUUCAGCCGUUCUCAGCCGUUCUCUUAAUCUACGCAGCUUCGCGUCUACAGAUGAGGAAAUGGAGAGGCAGGAACAUUUGUAGUGGAGUCGUGAUUCAUUCAAAUACUAAAGAUCUGGUCUGUUCAGAAAUAGAGUCGUGGAUCUCACUAAACUAGAAGAGAAAAAAAUAGAGCUCCAGAGUAAAGUAGAGAAAGGUUUUUAAUUUUUGGUGGUUUCGCUCUCCCUUUCCUCCCUGCAGCAUACCCCUACCACAUGUUCCGUGUAGAUUCCCCCCUCACACACACGCAUUUAAGUUGUGCUGUUUUUCCCCCUUUUCAAAAUAUUUCAACAUCCUCAGGAGCAGUAAUUGGAAGUUUAUUCGUAAGUGUAGAAAUUGUAUCAGAGGCUUCAAAAUAAUUGUAUUUUAUUGACCUAUGUUUUGUCUUGAAAUUUUUCAUUUUGAACUGUUAUUCAGGGGGAGGGCUGUUAAAGUGUUUUCUCUGCCUGUUUACGAUACAUUUUAGAUCUCUCACAUUUUUUUCUCUGGAUAUUUAUCAGGAGGUGGUGUAGAGGUUUGGUAAGUAAUGCAGUUUGAUUUUGUAUGUCUCAAGGGUUUCUCAUUAAGUUACAUAUUUGAGUUUUCUUUAUUCUGACCUUUUUUCCCCUGGUGCUUCUAUUUGCAAUAUUGACUGAAAAUCCUUACGUAAUGCUAAUUUUGAUCUUUUUUUUCACUAGCAUGUUUUGGAGCCCUCAGACUUGAAGAAGGACAUAGGUAAAGAGUAUAAUAUGAAACAUUUUCUGACAUUAGGGUUAUGAAGUCCUUUCCUUUAGUUGCCUACUUGCUGUCUUCAGUCUGAAAAUUAAAACAAUUUAAGUGGUUUGGUUUUGCCCAAUUACGGAUAUUUCAGUUCUCUUAUAUUUAUAAAUGUAACAUCAAUCCUUCACAUUGUAAAAAAGGUGGUUUCAUAUUAGAUUAGGAAGUACUUAGAACUUUAAAAUAUUUCCCCUGUGUAAAAUUUUAUGCAGUACUUGAGUUACUUAAUUGUAAAGUGGAUAACAAAUAUUAAUCUAAAACACAUUUUAGAUUUAUCAGAAUCAGGCUCUACUGCUGCUGUGUCUGAAAUGCUUUCCAACUUCCCCAGAGCCGUCACUGAAUAUAAACUCCAUAUUGUGUCUCUCAUGUAUCUGACCCAUCCUGCAUGUUUUUAUCAAGUUCUUUUCUGUGACUGGACGUGUUAGAAGACAGAGCCUAGGAAGUGCCAUAUUCCUUUGUCUGCUCAUGAAGUUGUUUUAAAACAUUCUUUAAUUUAGAAACAUAAAUGCCACACUUUUAAAAAUUUUAGUGACACCAAAAAAUUGAAUACAUUUUCCUGUCAAACAAAUGUUCUUUGAAAACUAAAUGUCUGCAUUAUCUCUUUUUUUACUUGAAGCUACUUGAUGUUUGCUUAAACUCCAUUUACUUGGAGUAGAACUUUGUAGUGAAUGAAAAUGACUAGGUUCUUCUGCCAAGUAAGUUGAGAACAUGAGUUUCUGUGUGUGGAUAAUAUAUAUUCUCUCUUUUCCUAUUUCGUUUUGAUAAUCCUAUCUCUGAGAACAAGCUCUGAUGUCAGUCUUUUAAAAAGAUACGGCAAAAAAUCUUUUUUUUUUUGGCCAUGCCAUGCAGCUUCCAGGGUCUCAGUUCCCCAACCAGGGAUUGAACCCAGAUUAUGGCAGUGAAAACCCAGAAUCUUAACCACUAGGCUACCAGGGAACUCCCAAGAUUACUUUUUUUUUGGUAAGACUUCACCGUCAUCUAUAAAAUAGCACAGUUUAACUGCUUCCUCAGUUUAAAAUUCCAUAGACUAUAACAGUGUCUACAUCAUAGAGAUGAUUUCUUCUUAUCCAAAAAUAUAUUUUUCUUUAAAUUCCACAGUUUAUAUCUUUUUUAUAGUAACCUAAUUUAGCAAGAUCAAAUUGAGAAUUUCACCCAGGGUAUCAGGUAGAACCAUUAGACUGUUGGAGAAUUUACUUGGAAAAAGAAAAACUGGAGGGAAAGAGAAGGUGCUGGUUGAUAGCAAUCAGAAAUAAAGAUUGUGAAGCAUCUUUGGAAUUAGUUUGUUAUAUGUAGGAAAUUCAUCUGGUAUAUAAAAAUAAGUGUGGCUCUUGACAUUUGCAAAUGUUACUUCACGGUCAUUGGCAAAAGUUCACUCAAAUCCAGGUUUUCUCUAAGAGAAACAUGGAGUCAGAGUCCCCACACUUACGAGUAAAGCAUGCAUUCACUUUGUCCCUGACAGUCUGCCAGUGACCAUGGUUUCUGAGGUUCAUUGUUGGAACCAGAGACAAGAAGAAAGGGGAGAGGGUGCUAAUCAGAUCAGUUGCGGCCUUUUAAAUUUGACCCUUUGGGUAAUGUACAUGGAAAGUAGUAUUUACUCUUUGAGUAGUAGUAGCAAAAGUGUCAGAGAGGGCAAUGGCACCCCACUCCCGUACUCUUCCCUGGAAAAUCCCAUGGACAGAGGAGCCUGGAAGGCUGCAGUCCAUGGUGUCGCUGAGGGUCGGACACGACUGAGCGACUUCACUUUCACUUUUCACUUUCAGGCAUUGGAGAAGGAAAUGGUAACCCACUCCAGUGUUCUUGCUUGGAGAAUCCCAGGGACGGGGGAGCCUGGUGGGCUGCCGUCUAUGGGGUCACACAGAGUCGGACACGACUGAAGUGACUUGGCAGCAACAAAAGUGUUAGUCGCUCAGUUGUGUCCGACUCUGAGACCCCAUGGACUGUAACCUGCCAGGCUCCUCUGUCCAUGGAAUUCUCAAGGCAAGAAUACUGGAGUGGGUAGCCGUUCCCUUCUCCAGGGGAUCUUCCCAACCCAGGGAUCACACCCAGGUCUCCUGCAUUGCAGGUGAAUUCUUUUCCAUCUGAGCUACCAGGGAAGUUCUGCCUUUAGUUUCAACACCGAUUUUUUUUUCCCUGAAAUUUCCAGGAGCUUAGUUUGAUAUCUUUUUCAAAGGGUAGAGGAUUGGGUGGGCAAAGCCCACAAAUGUUGGGAGAAGAGAAUUAUGCAGGGAAAUGUUUUCUUGAAAAUAGAAAGCUGCAGGAAAUGGAGUAGGGUCAGCAUCAGGAAGGCAGGAGAUACUAAGUAAUCUGUGGUCUGAUUUGCUUCCAGUGUGGUUUACUCACAGCUAACAUGAAAUGAGUAUUUCAUUCCUCAAGUAUGCACUUGGGGAAAAAUAGGAAGCCAGGCUGGAGACACAGGUUUGCAGCAGAUGCUCUGUAUCCAGGUCGUAAUGGCUUUGAUGGCAUUCAGUCCAAGAGCAACAGCAUCUGCAAAGGAAAAAUCUGUAAAUAUUCCCGAAUCUGAUCACCUUCACCAUCAUCAGCCAAUGGAUUGGAUGAGACUUCUUGAAGGGCCCUUUGAUGACUUUUGAUUAUUGGGGAAUUUUAUAUAAAAAUUGAAAUUCCGUUCAAGAACUCUUUUUCUGGCUUCCUUUUUUUUUGUUUGCUGCCCUGGGGUGUAGCUGGAGCACUCUUGGUUGCCUCACAGCUUGUGAGGUCCUGUUCCCGGACCAGGGAUCAGACCUGCACCCCCUACACUGGAAGGUGGACACUUAACUGCUGGGCCACCAGGGAAGUUCCCUGGUAUCUUACUCCCUUGGUAUUAUUUCACAUUUCACAACUAAAGUAAUCACACCUUGUUAUCUUUUAAAAUGAAUUUCCUGAGCUAAGACGACAGGAGUCUGCAUUUUGUGGACGUCGUUUGCACUUGACCCUUUGUUCACUGUUUCAUCCAGGGUGUCCUGGAUGGGGAGAGCGUUCCGCGUCACAGCUGGCGACCAGUGCUAGCCAGGCCUAGUCUGCAGGUUCAGUUUUACCCUUGGCUUUGUCCCUGGCUGGAGAACCAAGUUGGAACUAAGUGAAAGUGUUGGGAAAAGCAUGAUUCAAAAUAUAAUGAAUCAAGGGUAUCGUUUUUGAAAGGUUAUUGAGCCCACCUCACUUAGGGACACUGGAUAUUUGGUUUAAAUAAAAUAAGAAUGUUACUUAUUUUAUGUGUUUGAAAUUACUAAAGAACCUUGUAAGCUCUUAAAAGUGUAGCUGGAUUUGGUGUAGGCCAGAAAAAUAUGGCUAUUAUCAUUAGGGUAUGACUCAUGGGAUUCUUGAUUAUUUACACUAUUAUGGACACAAAUGUAUGUGGGUUCGAUAGCCAGUAUCCUUAGUAUUUACUUCAAAUGAGUGAUGAAAAUACCUGUGAAAACUUGGUGCGGGGACCUCCAUUUUUUAUGUCCAGUGGUCGCCUUAUAACCAGGCAUGAAGAGAAACAAAAUAAUUAACUCUUUAUAUCUUGAGGUUUAUUCUCUUCAGCUGGUCUAAUGGAAUGGGUAUAAUGAUAAUCAUUUCUCAGUUUAUCCCUACCCUUUCUCUUUUUAAAUCUGUCAGUAAAGCUGUGGUUAAGUAUGUUAUGUUAGAGGAUUUAAAAUACAAACAGAAGUACUGACUUAAAAGGUAAGAUUUACCUUGAAAAUUCAUAAAGUAAGAUGAGUAAUCAGCUUCAAGAUAUUAAUACAGACCUUGAAACUUAAUAAUUGCUGGCUGGUACAAGAACAAAAUACUAUAAUACAAACUAGAAUGUCUUCAAGAACAGAAGUCUGCUCUUGCCAGCUCAUGGCUCUUAGGUUAACAAAUCUAAUCCAGGAUGCAUCUUAACCCUGCAGCAAAUAGUAUUUUAUUUUUGCCUUAUUUCCAGAGACCAGCUUAACACAAGUGCUCUACACUAUUGCCUGGCUUUGAGCAGUGUUCUGCUUUGAAAAGAAAGUUAUACGUAUAUUUUAUCUUCCCUUUGAAUACUACUUCUUUACUGCAAACUAAGAAGCAUUGAACCCAGUAUUCACACAGCUUGCUCUGUUCUAUAAAAUUUCUCGGCUCUCUUCAGAUCGUUCUAAAUGGUGAUUCCUUUUCUUUUUCUUAAACUCAACUUUGCUUUUUCUUCAUUAAGUUAAGGGUAGGUAACAUGAGUCCCUCUUGCCCUUUGCUAUUAGAAUCUGGCAUCAGGAGCAACUGUUGCUGUUUCUGGUUUUCGUCCAAAACUUCCCUUUCUGGGAUGGAAGUCAUAUUGAUUCCAGGGUGUGUUAUUUAGUUGAGCAGUAUCAGUAAAUUCACUGACUCACCUUCCUGUUCAAUGAAUACCUAACCAUGUUAUGUUAUAUUCGUGUCUGGAAUGCCAGUCCUAAAACAGAUUGAGGGGAGGAAAGAGGGUACUUAGACCAUACUUUGAAUAAAAGACAUUUUGAGGGUUGUCCCCCCCACCCUUAAAAACAAAAGCCAGCUACUUAGUACCGGAUGUUUUCAUUGUACUUUUUGAAAAAUUGCUUUGGUCAUUGUGUUCAUUAUUCCUGAAAUAGUAUUCUGUCCUAGUCCCUAAAGAUAGUUUUAUGUGCUAACUUUUGUUUUACCUUUCUAGCUACUAAAGUAGAUAAUGGUUAUUACACACGGCACGUUUUUAAAUGGUCUCCAGUGUGGACUGUUCAGCCAGUGAUGGAGUGAGUACAUUGAGGAAGAAGGUGUCAUUUGGAAUCCAGAACCAUUCCACAAGGAUGACUACCUGAUACAUGGUCAGAAUGCUCAAACUGAUGGCAUACCGAUGGCUUUCUCUUCCAGUCCCCUAAAAAAGUGUUGUCAGCCUGAGUUCCCCUGAUCUACCUACUCUCAUUUCCAUUCCCAAAGUCGUGACCUGAUUCUCUCACUUGGCUAUCACAGGGAGUUGAGGUGUCAGUAUGUGAGUACAACAAACCUAUUCAAUGAUGCAUAGGAAGCAAAGAAAAAUAGUUUUGUUUGCUGACUACUUAAAGUAUAGAAUGUUUUGGUUUUCAGUUGAUUUUGCAAAGCAGUAAAGACAUUUCUUGGUUGUUAAUUCCACAUGUAUUUUUUCCUCCUCUCUUACUAAGUGAAUUUCAAUGCUAAUUUCCUAAGAAAGCAAUUGAAUAAGUCUUAAUUUAAAGCUUGUACUAAUGAUAAUCAUAUAAGGUUCACUUCCUACCCCUGCCCCCCGCCCCCAACUUUUAAGUGAUAACGUAAGUAAAAUACCCAUUUCAAAUUUGUCUGGCAAAUGAGAGAAUCAGUAGUUUGCCAGUAUUUUUCAUUACUUUUCUUAGAAUUGUUUUUCCUUUACACAUUUAUAGUGCAAAAUAGCUCAGUGGUGCAGACUCAUACUAAGCUGAUCAACUUGCAUUUUGGUCUUCAUGGGAUUUACACAUUUUUUCACUCAACAUUUAUUAAAGGAACAAACAACAUUUUGGGCUAUACCAAACAUACCUUUAGCUUGACUAAGGGCUGAAUUUCAUAAAGGAACAAAAUAUAGAAUUCAUUUUCACAUACUUUAAAGUGUGACUCAUCCCUGUUGAACUUGUGAGACUCAAAGCUACGCCCAUGUCACUUAAUUUUAUGUCCUUCCCUGUUUACUGUGUCUGACCUUCAAGAUUUCGUGACUGAUGCUGAAAUGGAAGCCAGCCAUGCAGAAAUGUGGGGGAAAAUGAAUCUGAAGAAUGCACGGGGAAGUAGGAAUUCAUUUCUAGCGUUCCCAAACCUGCUUUGUCACGUCAGCUUCACUGCAGUCAGAGGAAAAGAACUGAGUUCAUGGAGAUUACCAACUAAACCUUACGUCUGUCCUUAAUGUUUUUAGGAAAUGUGCUGAAAAGGACAUUUUUCGUCAUGCCAAGAAAGAAGCCGUAUGUCCAUUCACAAUUACUCCCAUUCAUCACCUCCACCCAGGUUCCACCCUGAAAUCUCCAGCAGCCACUAAUCUACUUUCUGUCUCUAUGGAC
ensembl:lncRNA